rnacentral:rRNA from 1 species
CGUAGGGUGCAAGCGUUAAUCGGAAUUACUGGGCGUAAAGCGUGCGCAGGCGGUUUCGUAAGUCUGUCGUGAAAUCCCCGGGCUUAACCUGGGAAUGGCGAUGGAGACUGCGAAGCUAGAGUUUGGCAGAGGGGGGUAGAAUUCCACGUGUAGCAGUGAAAUGCGUAGAGAUGUGGAGGAACACCGAUGGCGAAGGCAGCCCCCUGGGUCAAAACUGACGCUCAUGCACGAAAGCGUGGGGAGCAAACAGGAUUAGAUACCCUGGUAGUCCACGCCCUAAACGAUGUCUACUAGUUGUUGGGUCUUAAUUGACUUAGUAACGCAGCUAACGCGUGAAGUAGACCGCCUGGGGAGUACGGUCGCAAGAUUA